CCCUUAGAUGUUCUGGGCCGCACGCGCGCUACACUGACGAAUGCAACGAGCCUAUAACCUUGGCCGAAAGGUCUGGGUAAUCUCCAAAUUUCGUCGUGAUGGGGAUAGAUUAUUGCAAUUAUUAAUCUUCAACGAGGAAUGCCUAGUAAGCGCAAGUCAUCAGCUUGCGUUGAUUACGUCCCUGCCCUUUGUACACACCGCCCGUCGCUCCUACCGAUUGAAUGGUCCGGUGAAGCGUUCGGACCGUGGCCUUUGGACGGUUCGCCGUCUGUUGGCUGCGGGAAGUUCGUUAAACCUUAUCAUUUAGAGGAAGGAGAANUCGUANCA
rnacentral:rRNA from 1 species